rnacentral:rRNA from 1 species
UAAGGUCACGGUGAGACCAGCCGUUUUUUUUUUCAAUAGGUGUCAAGUGUAAAUGCAGCGAUGCACACAGCAUAGGCAUCCUAACAGACCGAUAUAUUUGAAC